GCCUAUAACAGCUUGCAUCCAGCCACCUUCCAACCUAACUCCGCUGAUUUUUUUCGGUGAUUGACAUCGUUCCGCGUUUCCGAUUUUACAGUCAAUCAAGAAGCUGGUCAUGAUCUUACCUAUACUUCACCAUUUUAAACCUUCCAUAACUUCCCUCCCCCACAUCUCGACACCCUCACACUCGCAACACGUUUCGGUAUCCUAACACCUCACUUCAUUCUGUUCCGACACAAACAACACUCACCGUUCUUUUCGUAUUACCCACACGCUCGCCGGAAAGGUCGGAGGCAUCGCCGGAGACCGAGAAGACGACCGGAGAUACCCUUGUUGGAGACCGCAAGUCGCCGGAUAACUCGUAUCAACGUCGGAGCCUACGUCAGGAUUCACGCCAUUUCCGUUCGGAUAAUCAUUUCGUUCUCUUGGUUCCCCAAUCUCUACUCGUUCGUUAUUACAAGAAAUCGCAACGCAACCAAUGUUGAUAGACAAGAUGAUGAAGAAAUCAAGUUAGGAUGGACUUAGAU